rnacentral:snoRNA from 1 species
CAUGUUCCAUCAAAGAACUGUUACACAUGGUUUCCACUACAGAUGCAAGGAAAAAAAAAGUGUUCUCACGCUUUCUGCCUUUCUGAUUGGGACAGCCCAUAUUGAAUGGGAAAUACAAGA